rnacentral:rRNA from 1 species
UACGUAGGGGGCAAGCGUUGUCCGGAUUUAUUGGGCUGAUAAAGAGCGUGUUAGGCGGCCAGGUAGGUCUGCUGAUGAAACUCGAGGCUUAACCUCGAGCUGUCGGCGGAAACCAUCUGGCUAGAGUCCGGAAGAGGAGAAUGGAAUUCCGGUGGUAAGCUGGUGAAAUGCGCAGAUAAUCGGGAAGAACACCCGUGGCGAAGGCGGAUC